rnacentral:sRNA from 1 species
CAGGUGGACUCUGGUGCCAACGCCACAGCCACGGCUCGCUGGCCUGGGGGCAAUGUCAGCGCCCGCUUUGAGGCUGCCUGCCCUGCCCUGGUGGCCACCUUCGUGCCCGGCUGCCCCUGGGAGACCAACGACACCCUGUUCUCAGUGGUAGCACUGCCGUGGCUCAGUGAGGGGGAGCACGUGGUGGACGUUGUGGUGGAAAACAGCGCCAGCCAGGCCAACCUCAGCCUGCGAGUGACGGCGGAGGAGCCCAUCUGUGGCCUCCGUGCCACGCCCAGCCCCGAGGCCCGUGUACUACAGGGAGUCCUAGUGAGGUACAGCCCCGUGGUGGAGGCCGGCUCAGACAUGGUCUUCCGGUGGACCAUCAACGACAAGCCGUCCCUGACCUUCCAGAACGUGGUCUUCAACGUCAUUUAUCAGAGCGCGGCAGUCUUCAAGCUCUCAGACGCUGCCAUGGCUGUGGGUGAGUGGAGGGAGGGAUGCCAAGCAGGGCCAGGCCUCUCACCUGCCACCUGGGCCCACUGACGCCUGUCCCUGCAGCUGACGGCCUCCAACCACGUGAGCAACGUCACCGUGAACUACAACGUCACCGUGGAGCGGAUGAACAGGAUGCAGGGCCUGCGGGUCUCCACAGUGCCGGCCGUGCUGUGCCCCAAUGCCACGCUGGCACUGACGGCGGGCGUGCUGGUGGACUCGGCCGUGGAGGUGGCCUUCCUGUGGACAUUUGGGGAUGGGGAGCAGGCCCUCCACCAGUUCCAGCCUCCGUACAACAAGUCCUUCCCGGUUCCAGACCCCUCGGUGGCCCAGGUGCUGGUGGAGCACAACGUCACGCACACCUACGCUGCCCCAG